ACGUGUCUUCUGGCCGGAAGCACUACGAGCCUGGGGCGCACUAUAGCGGCUUCGCAGGUAUCAGCGAGGCUAUCACACCUUCUCUUCCUGCGUGGGCUCACAGCCAUCGGUGCGGCAUGCGUUUGUCUAGCAGUUUAUUCAUCCGCGCCUCGUCAUCUCAUAUUCUGCGGUGGGAAGGACAUGGUCCUGGUUUGCAGCUCGGAUGCAACUGUGCUAGUUAUGUACCCGCACUCCGCGGCUCUGUGUGACUGAUUUGCAGAGAAAUGUAUCUCAUUAGUUAGUGGUUACAUUCAGCGGUAUACCUGGUCUCUGUAGCUACCGUGCUUUCAGUCGCUUUCAGUCCCUUUAGACUGAUCCGAAAUAACCUUUCCUCCACCCACCCACCCCCGUUUCCCCUAAAAUAAUAUUUGAGUACUUUUUAGUUUUAGUA
rnacentral:lncRNA from 1 species